rnacentral:lncRNA from 1 species
CCAGCAAGCCGCCAACUUACGCUCCUCCACCCAAGUCACCCAGCAAGCCGCCAACUUACGCUCCUCCGACCAAGCCACCAACUUACGCCCCUCCACCCAAGCCACCAGUUUAUCCUCCAACUAAGCCACCGACUGCGCCCCCGACUAAGCCACCAGUGCACCCACCAACAUAUCCUCCACCAUCGCCUUCUCCACCUAAGCCGCCAACUUAUCCUAAACCACAAAGGAGCCUAGUGGCUGUUCAGGGCGUUGUUUUUUGCAAGUCAUGCAAAUACGCUGGAUCUGACACCCUGUUGGGAGCGAAGCCUAUUUUGGGUCAGUUUGAAACCUAUCAUUAUACUUAAAAAAAGAGAUUAAAAUUUACAUCUUUUCACUAAACAAAAACUUUAAGUGCAAUGCUUGGUUAUAUUCAUUUGCAUCGAGAAUUAUUAGCCCUAGUACGUCUAUCUUUUUAAUGGCCUAAUAAUUUUGAUUUAGGCAUGCAUGUGACUUCCAUGUUUGUUUGAAAGGGGAAACUUGCAUUUUAAAUUUGAGUUCAGAGAGAGAGAGAGAGAGAGAGAAAUGGUUUCUUGGAUUUUAACUUAAAAGAGUGACUGUGUGAGGUAACGUCAAUAGCUUGGCGUUUUAUGAGUUAAAGCAGCAAACUUUACCUUUUUUCAACGUUAGAGCUCAUACUUCUAGGUUCCUACAACAUCAAUGACUGGCAUGCAUUGCAUUGUCAUGGAACCCUACGUUGAAACUUGAAACAAAAGGAAAAAACCCAUUAGCUUCUUUUUCUUUUCCCAUUGAAGAGUUAAUUAAUUUAAAACUAUACUCGAGUAAUACUGACUAGACUGAGCACAUUGGUUUUGAUUUUUAUAGGUGCCACUGUAAAGCUGACAUGCAAGAACACCAAAUACAAGCAAGAGGCCACUGCGAAAACUGACAAGAAUGGCUAUUUCUUCCUGCAAGCACCAAAGACCGUCACCAGCUUUGGAGCCCACAAAUGCACAGU